rnacentral:rRNA from 1 species
CACGCCCUAAACGAUGUCAACUAGCUGUUGGGCCGGUUACGGCUUAGUAGCGCAGCUAACGCGUGAAGUUGACCGCCUGGGGACUACGGUCGCAAGACUAAAACUCAAAGGAAUUGACGGGGACCCGCACAAGCGGUGGAUGAUGUGGAUUAAUUCGAUGCAACGCGAAAAACCUUACCUACCCUUGACAUGCCCGGAAGCUUCAAGAGAUUGAAGUGUGCUCGCAAGAGAACCGGAGCACAGGUGC